UACGUAGGGGGCAAGCGUUGUCCGGAAUUAUUGGGCGUAAAGGGCUCGUAGGCGGUUUGUCGCGUCGGGAGUGAAAACCAGGUGCUUAACACCUGGCUUGCUUUCGAUACGGGCAGACUAGAGGUAUGCAGGGGAGAACGGAAUUCCUGGUGUAGCGGUGAAAUGCGCAGAUAUCAGGAAGAACACCCGUGGCUAAGGCGGCUCUCUAGUACGGUACUGACGCUGAGACGCGAAAGCGUGGGGAGCGAACAGG
rnacentral:rRNA from 1 species